UGCCGAAGUGGCGGAACUGGCAGACGCACAGGACUUAAAAUCCUGCGAUGCUAACACAUCGUACCGGUUCGAUUCCGGUUUUCGGCACCAA
rnacentral:tRNA from 1 species